rnacentral:rRNA from 1 species
AUAAGCGCCGGUAAGGUGAUAUGAACCGUUAUAACCGGCGAUACCCGAAUGGGGAAACCCAGUGUGACUCGUCACACUAUCAUUAACUGAAUCCAUAGGUUAAUGAGGCGAACCGGGGGAACUGAAACAUCUAAGUACCCCGAGGAAAAGAAAUCAACCGAGAUUCCCCCAGUAGCGGCGAGCGAACGGGGAGGAGCCCAGAGCCUGAAUCAGCAUGUGUGUUAGUGGAAGCGUCUGGAAAGGCGCGCGAUACAGGGUGACAGCCCCGUACACAAAAGCGCAUGUGCUGUGAGCUCGAUGAGUAGGGCGGGACACGUGGUAUCCUGUCUGAAUAUGGGGGGACCAUCCUCCAAGGCUAAAUACUCCUGACUGACCGAUAGUGAACCAGUACCGUGAGGGAAAGGCGAAAAGAACCCCGGCGAGGGGAGUGAAAAAGAACCUGAAACCGUGU